CCUACGGGUGGCAGCAGUGGGGAAUAUUGGACAAUGGGCGAAAGCCUGAUCCAGCCAUGCCGCGUGUGUGAAGAAGGCCUUCGGGUUGUAAAGCACUUUCAGUGGGGAAGAAAGCCUUGGGGCUAAUACCCUCGAGGAAGGACAUCACCCACAGAAGAAGCACCGGCUAACUCCGUGCCAGCAGCCGCGGUAAUACGGAGGGUGCGAGCGUUAAUCGGAAUUACUGGGCGUAAAGCGCGCGUAGGCGGUCUGAUAAGCCGGUUGUGAAAGCCCCGGGCUCAACCUGGGAACGGCAUCCGGAACUGUCAGGCUAGAGUGCAGGAGAGGAAGGUAGAAUUCCCGGUGUAGCGGUCAAAUGCGUAGAGAUCGGGAGGAAUACCAGUGGCGAAGGCGGCCUUCUGGACUGACACUGACGCUGAGGUGCGAAAGCGUGGGUAGCAAACAGGAUUAGAUACCCGUGUAGUC
rnacentral:rRNA from 1 species